rnacentral:lncRNA from 1 species
AUGAAAUCAAGCAACCCCUUUUCAUCCUGCAAUCCUACAGCCACCAGUAAGCACACCAAGUCCGUUCUUCCUUUUUUUAUUGCCAUUAGCAGCGGUGCAAAAGACUUCGGGGUGGUUGUAUCUGGGGGCUUUUUAAGAGCGCACCUCCCCAUUGCCUCUUUGCUUGAAAUAGCAGGAAGCAAACACACCAGGCUGAGCUCUGACACGGCUCACAAAUUCCCCCACAGCACCCAGGCUGUUCAGAAGCACACCAGCAGCUGUCCAGCCUGCAGCCAAAGGAUGCUGUGGGAUUUCUCUCCCCCAAGCAGCUCCAGGCAAGCAGCACGCUGGGAGACAGGCUCACGGACGAGAUCAAAAGGCAACGCACCUUCCCUAGAGAGCAUCCCACCCCGACAGCCAUGUCACGGUUUUGCAGCCUCUGACAGAGGAAUCUGCCGGAUCGUGGUCUCCCCACCUCAGACACAUCAAUCAGUUUCUACCCCACCGAGGUCCCGGCUGGGCGGCAUCUCCCCCACGUCAGGAUCAGCGCCGGCAUCCCUACAACACUGAGGUGACAGCCAGAGCUGCAAUCUGACCUGUCUCAAACCCAGCCCACCUUUCUGGCCUUGGGUCACUUGGCUGUUACUCAGCCAAGACAAGAAAUCGCUGUUACCUGACUGCAAUCACACACAAGUUGCGUAACGAGCAGGUAAACUUUUCUCUUCUCAUACCUCUUCCAUCAUAAAGCACGGAGCCAGCCUCCUACCCUGCUCCUUCCAGCCUCUGCUUCAGGCACCUGCAAUCCUUCCUCCACGGAUAGCUCUCAAAAGGGUUCUCACGCUCUGGACUGCAAAAGCAUUUUGGGGUUCCCUCCCCCCACUUCCAGGCAUUUCCACUCAUCUCCUCUCUGAGCAAAUCCACCCCAGCUUCCUCCUCUUGCUUUCGUGUGCCCUUUUUCUAAAUUUCCAUGCUGUAACUCUCAUCACUGAACACGAUGCUUGCUCCUCACCUCUCAUCACUCUAGUUGUCCCACAUCAGGUCCCCCACUCACCAGGUCCCAUUCAUCAGCCUUGCUCCUUCCCAUCCUCUGCCUCAAUGACUUUGCAGCCCUGCAGCCACAGCCUGCUCCCUCCUUCCUGCCUAUCUAACACACCGCCGGCCUACGGGGCAGUAUCUGUUCCAGGACACGAUACAUUUACACCCCAAAUCCACCAUCAGAAAGCAGCAGCCUCCACAGAACACGCAGCGGAGGACGCUGAUCAGUUGUUCAUAAGGAAACUGCAAACUGAGCUCUGGGAAACUCAGCAGUCUGGAUUUACACACGGGGGAAUAUCAGAAUCGCUUUCAUUUUGACUGAAAGAGUCGUAACCCCGCAUUUCACCGAGAGCUAAAACCAAACUAGAAACAGAGCACGUGUCAAAACCAUACAAAACUACAACUUCUGCAUGGUUUUGAUGCAAAAUAAUCCAAGCAGGCUGGCAGCCUACAAAUCCUAACGAUUCUGUGGACAAAUCUGGGGCAAGUUUAAAAUUUGUAAUGUAGCGUGUUACAUGUCAGUUUGGGUUUCGCU